AAGUCGUAACAAGGUUUCCGUAGGUGAACCUGCGGAAGGAUCAUUAUCACGUAUCCACGUAUGAACCAUUGUGAACUGUCUCUAUCACCUUUGUGAGAAUAGGAGGAGUUGAUAGUUGUCUUUUCGGAGUCAGCUGUCGUACGAUUCCUGUGAUCACGAAGCGUAUAAACCUUACAUUCAACCAUUUUUAACACUAUCUUUAUAACUUUAUGAACUAACUUUUAUUUUAUACUCUUCGGAGAUAAAAUUCAUUACGAAACAAAGAA
rnacentral:misc_RNA from 1 species